CAGUCAUCAGCUAUGCCCUGGUAGAGCACAGAGAAUCACAAAUCUCAGAAAAGACAGUCUUCUACAUUUCAAGCUAGUACUCCCUUGCAUCCCUGGCAGAGCAUUCGACCAAACAGACGUCCACUCUCACAUGUGAACAUUCUUCUUUCUGAAGCAGUUUCUUCAGGUUAGUCAUCAGCUAUGCCCCGGUAGAGCACAGAGAAUCACAAAUCUCAGAAAAGACAGUCUUCUACAUUUCAAGCUAGUACUCC